rnacentral:rRNA from 1 species
CCAAUUUAACUUGGAACCCGACCUUCUCACAUCUAACCCUGUGCAUUUGUUUUAAUGGCGAGCAAUUUUCGGAUUGUGAGCCAUUUCACUUUAUAAACACUAGUCUAUGAAUGUAAAAUUUUUAUAACAAAUGAAAACUUUCAACAACGGAUCUCUUGGCUCUCGCAUCGAUGAAGAACGCAGCGAAAUGCGAUACGUAAUGUGAAUUGCAGAAUUCAGUGAAUCAUCGAAUCUUUGAACGCAUCUUGCGCUCUCUGGUAUUCCGGAGAGCAUGUCUGUUUGAGUGUCAUGAAUUCUUCAACCCAACUGUUUCUUGUAAACAGCUGGUGUUUGGAUUCUGAGCGCUGCUGGCUUCGUGCCUAGCUCGUUCGUAAUACAUCAGCAUCCCUAAUACAAGUUUGGAUUGACUUGGCGUAAUAGACUAUUCGCUAAGGAUUCAAUGUUCGCAUUGAGCCAACUUAAUUAUGGAAGCUUCUAAUUGAAAAGUCUACCUUUAGAUUAGAUCUCAAAUCAGGCAGGAUUACCCGCUGAACUUAAGCAUAUCAAUAAGCGGAGGAAC